GGGCCAUCACACUUUUUCUUUAUUGGGCCCUCCUCCCUAAAUGCAAAUGAGGCCUGCCCUUAAAAAAAUGGGAUCAUUACUAUGCUAAAUAAACUUGGGCCGCUGCGAAUAAAAUAAUUUAGGACCACUCCGUUUCUUUUUAUUUAAAUGGGCCACGUUUUUUUUAAGAAUGGGCCACUGCCCUAAUAAAUUAUGGAGCCAUGAAAUAUAACACAACAGCUUCUACUCAUUUUCUUACUCUCGUCAUGAAUUGUGGAAAUGAUAUGUCAUGAAGGAGUGAAAUUAGAUGGUGCUACUUAUACACUGAUACCAAGUUUGUUGGGAUUUCUCAGUGAUUUGGGGCAGAGGCAAUCUGCCAUUUUUUUGAUUUCUUUGCUGAAAAUGUUGACUAUUUGUGAGAGUACAUGAGAGUGUACUCGUGAGACAUUAAAUGGGGCUGCCAUACUGCUUUGUUUCUCUUCUUGCAGCAACUUUUUUUUUGAUGCUGCAGCAAUUUAACUGCAAUAUUGGUGGUGAUUUUGCAGGUGUACAACAAAGUAUGUAGGGCUGUUAAGUGGUAAUCUGCAGAGCUGCUGUAGCUGAAAAAGGGCAGGCGUUGCAGGCUGAAAAGAGGGCUGAUCUUGUCCUACCAGCCUUUGGUUAAGGCUGGGGAGAGUGCAGGAGUUGCAGCCCUCCAUCCUCCCUAUUUUGGCAACUUUUAGUCUUCCUCAAAAAGAGAUGAAGAAGUAGUUGGCUGGAAUACGGCCUCUCACAUCACGGUUCGUUGCUCUUGGCCCGAAGGCCGAUCGAAGACUAGGUUGUGGUGCGAUGUGCCUUGGCUCGGGAAGACUCAAGCAUUAGCACUUAAUAUUCCUUGCGUUGUCUUCCUUCCUUUUCAUCAUUGUACACUUGUAAGCUAGAACGUAGUUCGGGCUGUAAAACUUUGUAUUUUAUCCGCUUAAGAAAUAAAUAGACACAUUCCCUUU